CCGUACUAGACGGGGAGGUAGCGGUGCCCUGAACCCGCAAUCCGCUAUAGCGGGGUUGAAUUCCUGCCCGAGGGUUUGGCUUGUGGGGUCUGCCCCCUGUAAGGAGUGUUGAAGGCCGGGUCUUGCGCGACGGAGCCUUUUGAACCGUGUCAGAUCCUGACGGAAGCAGCACUAAGGAAGAUACUCCGGGUGCCGCAAGGGCGCCUGGUCUGAGCUACCUGCAGGGGUAACGCCCGGAAGUUAUUAUUCGACGGCAGGUGUGCGG
rfam:Peptococcaceae bacterium BRH_c8a BRHa_1004325, whole genome shotgun sequence.